rnacentral:rRNA from 1 species
GUUGAAAAUCACUUUUUGUGAAUUGUAACAUUGGAGAUUAAAGUUUCCUUAUGAAAAUCUGUAAAGUAUACUGGAAUGUAUCAUCAGAGAGGGUGAAAUUCCCGUCUACAGAUCAUAAUAUGGUUACUUUUUUCUUUAGAGUCAUGUUGCUUGUUAGUGCAGCAUAAAGUGGUAGGUAAACUCCUACUAAAGCUAAAUAUCACUAAGAGACCGAUAGUAAACAAGUACCGUGAGGGAAAGAUGAAAAGAACCCUGAAAAGGGGACUUAAAAGAAUGUGAAAUUGUCAAAAGGGAAGCGCUUGGAAAGCUUUUAUAUGGCUUCGAGGGAGGAUUUUUCUUUAAAUUUCUUUCUCAAGUUUAUUAGGUUAUAGCUCAUGUCUAGACCUCAAAUGUUUAGGGAUUGAAGAGUGAGCCAAGGCCCAUCUCUUGAUGAACUAAUUACAUAUUGAGAGUCAUGGCAAGCUUUUAAAUCUUUAGAGUUUUAAGGAGGUGUUUUGAGGGUAAAUGAUAGAGUCAACCUCUAGAAUCUACCUUUAAAAAGCUCUUGACUACUCUUAAGUAUUAUAACCUUAGUUUUCUAAGUGUCCCGUCUUGAAACACGGACCAAGGAGUCUACCAUUAAUGCGAGUUUAAGUGUUGAAAACUCUCAAGCAUAAUGAAAGUAAGAGAUAGGAAAACUAAUAGUUUGCACUAUCAACCAAACUUUCAUGGACUUGUCCAAAAGAUUUGAGUAAGAGCAUUAAUGAUGGUACCCGAAAGAUGGUGAACUAUGCCUGAGUAGGGUGAAGCUAGAGGAAACUCUGGUGGAAGCCCGUAGCGGUUCUGACGUGCAAAUCGAUCGUCAAACUUGGGUAUA